GAGACAUCCAGGCGAUGAGGGCGUGUCCACAGAGCCCAGCCGCGCUCCAGAGGCGGGCAGACCAAAGCAUGGCGAGCCACGCCCGGAUCACUCCAGGUCGGGGAGGAAAAAGAGACAGGCAGAGGAGAGGAGCAGCGAGUCCCUGAGGAAGGACGUUCCUCUGGACGGCCGGCACCUCGACUCCUCGCACAGGAGCGAGAACGCAAAGUCAGGGCAGGACGGAGACGACCCUAGGCACGGGGGUAAACCGAACGCCGUCGAGAAGGAAGCACCCCCCCGUGGAGCACCGACGGAGAACCCCCUCUGGGAAGGGGUGACGAAGGUGAGGAACCCCCAGAGGAAGACCAUCAGCAUCAACAUCAACCUUACCCAGCUGGAGGAGGUCCAGAAGGUGGCUGAGUCUCACCCGACGGCCGGCAGCUCGGUCGAAGAAGUGCGAAUGGACGCCGGAGAUGAAAACGAGGACACGCCCAUAGUGGAGGACGGGGAGGAAGUGGUGGACGACAACAGAGGAGUAAAACAACUGACCACCGUCCGGAGAGCCGCCGAGGCACCCGUUUGUGGAGGAGAGGCGAUGAAGAUGAUGGAGAAGAAGAGGAGCAGGAGAGCUGAUGGAGGCAAGUAGGUUUGGGAUCGGCGGGACAGACGAAAGCGUUGUGCCCAUGAAUGGGGUAAGAAUAAUUCUUGACUGAGUAGCAGAGUGGGAAGCCCUUUGUAGUAUGAACGUUCAUGUACUGUGAUGUCAGCCGUCAAGCCUGAUUUUGUGAGCGUCCGAUACUGCAACAUCACAGCUUUAAUUGCCUUAAAUAUGUACGAGUAAAUCUACAUCGUUGUUCUCGAUGGAGGGGACUUUGAGGUCCUGAAAGAUUGCGUGGAUUUUGCUGCUGUUAUGAAAUGUGCACUGUGAAUUUAUAAUUUCUUUAACCCUCUGCCUACUAUAAUUUUGUGAUUUUUUCGUUUAAAAUCAAACACGCUGUGUGGAUGGAUAGCUUACCAAAAUGUGUUGGACUCUUUCUUUCUGGUCAGAAAUAAAUACAAAAUCUAC
ensembl:lncRNA